rnacentral:rRNA from 1 species
AGCAGCCGCGGUAAUUCCAGCUCCAAUAGCGUAUAUUAAAGUUGUUGCAGUUAAAAGCUCGUAGUUGAAUUUCGGGAUUAGUGCGCCGGUCGUGCCUUCGGUAUGUACUGGUGUUACUGGUUCCUACCUUCUGACGAACCGUCAUGUCAUUAAUUUGGUGUGGCGGGGAAUCAGGACUGUUACUUUGAAAAACUAGAGUGUUUAAAGCAGGCUCGCGCUUGAAUACAUUAGCAUGGAAUAAUGAAAUAGGACGUUAAUCCUAUUUUGUUGGUUUCUAGGAUCGACGUAAUGAUUAAUAGGGAUAGUUGGGGGCAUUAGUAUUCAAUUGUCAGAGGUGAAAUUCUUGGAUUUAUUGAAGACUAACUACUGCGAAAGCAUUUGCCAAGGAUGUUUUCAUUAAUCAAGAACGAAAGUUAGGGAUCGAAGACGAUCAGAUACGUCGUAGUCUUAACCAUAAACUAUGCGACUAGGGAUCGGAUGA